rnacentral:rRNA from 1 species
GAUGAACGCUGGCGGCGUGCUUAACACAUGCAAGUCGAACGGAAAGGCCCUGCUUUUGUGGGGUGCUCGAGUGGCGAACGGGUGAGUAACACGUGAGUAUCCUGCCCUUGACUUUGGGAUAACUUCAGGAAACUGGGGCUAAUACCGGAUAGGAGCUCCUGCUGCAUGGUGGGGGUUGGAAAGUUUCGGCGGUUGGGGAUGGACUGGCGGGUUAUCAGCUUGUUGGUGGGGUAGUGGCUUACCCAGGAUUUGACGGGUAGCCGGCCUGAGAGGGUGACCGGCGACAUUGGGACUGAGAUACGGCCCAGACUCCUACGGGAGGCAGCAGGGGGAAAUAUUACACAGUGAGCGGGAGCCUGAUGCGGAGGCGCCGCGUGCGGGAUGACGGCCUUCGGGUUAAGAACCGCUUUCGCCUGUGACGAAGCGGGAGUGACGGUAAUGAAUAAAGAAGCACCGGCUAACUACGUG